AUGGAUACUCGUCUCAGCAAAAGGGCACAUGGGGUGAUGAAGGCUGAGGAAGCUAAGGAAGUAGAGGAGGAGAUGAACAAGGAACAGACAGAAGAUGAGACAGAGGUCCCUAUUCGAAGAUAUAAGAAAAAGAAGCCAGUCAAAUAUUCCCCGAAAAAACCGAUGUCUCCAACAGGGGCAUUGGAGUUGGCCAAACUGAAACAACAAAAUAAGAUGGAUCGGCAGAAGAUUGAACACCUUGAGGACCGCAUUAAGUACCUGGAGGAGGCCAACAGGGAUCUAAAAAAUGACAAGGACUUCUUACUUUCCCAAAUUAAGGGAGCCACCAACACACCUGCAUCUACUGGGAAAGUGACCACAACGGAUGGAGUUAUCCGCCGCUACAAGAAUGUCCUGUCCAUAUUCAAUAAGCAUGGAUCCAUGAAAAAGGCCUUCGCCAAAAUUAACGUCGACCGCAACACAAUUGCGAGAACAGCUGUGAUUGCUGAACUAGCAAUCACAUUUCCAGACACCUUCAAGGACCUGCUUCCACGAGAUGAAGCUAAUGAGAAGAUGUCUGCAUUUGCAGAGCGUUGCAGGGGAGCUAUAACACAGGAGAUGGCUGAAAUUAUCACAGCAAAGAAAAAAAGUGGAAAACUCCUCCCAAUAGUGUAUAAAUACACUUAAGAGUG
rnacentral:lncRNA from 1 species